UGAUCGGGGGACUUAAAACUUUAUGGGGUAUUUGGAAACAAAUUUGCUUGCCCGACGUAUGAGGUCGUGAACCAAAAUUAAGUUAAAGGCUCAAGUUGAUGGUGAUUAUGUGACCAAUAGAAACUAUGACGUGCGUUUUAAAAAUAAAAAAACAGCGUGUUUUCUGCGUAAACGUCAAAAAAUGAUAGUUUUAUCCGAAACUUUAUCUCAAAGUUAAACUUCCUAAACUUACACACUCACAACUCUGGCGACAAGCCAACAGACUGAGUUCUUUCGUCACAUGUGUACUUAAUUGAUCGCAUGCAGUGUUUCAUGAGCUCGUGCGUGAUGUUACAGCUUCUGUUUGUAAAAGAAAAGUUGGCAUCUGUGUAAAAAAAAAAAAAAAAAACAUUUUCUUCCAAAAUGAAAUUUGAGGAAUGUUUUCAUCUAACGUGCAUCAAAUUAUUCAAAGCAGAGAAUUUGGAUAAAUCAACAUGCAUUUGCAAGGCAGAAGACUGAAUGGUCUGGACCAUACACUGGCACAAAUUUAAUAUAGAAUAAAAAUUUUAAUAAGAAGAUUCAGAAAGAUGCUGUCUUCUCUGAGAUCGUAUUAAAUGUAGGCUACUUUUGGGACACAGAGACUCUCCUGUGGUCUGCUGAAAAUGUGAGAUUCUUUUUAGAAACCAUCCUCCAGUCCAAAGUGCAAAGGGAACAUCCAGCUUGUUCUCAGCACAAAGUUCAAAGUAUUUUUUGAACUUUAAAGCUUUUAAGUUUUUUAAAAGGAUAUUAGUGUAUAAGUGCAAAUUGCAUGAGUGUAUUGUAUAUCUGUGAAGGCACCAUUAAUGCUGAAUAAUAUGCAUAAGUUUUGGAGCAACAGCUACGGCUAUAAAAACAUAUCUUUUUUAAAGAAAUACAUUGCUGAUUUUAACUAGUAAAUGUCAAACCACAUUCUGGGUGUAUGUCAACAGCAUAGACCCUUAGUAAAGUCUAUGUCAGACCUGUGAUCUGAACGCAUUUGGCUCACAAUGUUAUGGAAAACAUG